UCGAUUUGGAGUUUGUUGCCCUGAGUGAUGGGCUCCGAAGCUAACGCGAUAAAUCGACCGCCUGGGGAGUACGGCCGCAAGGUUAAAACUCAAAUGAAUUGACGGGGGCCCGCACAAGCGGUGGAGCAUGUGGUUUAAUUCGAUGCAACGCGAAGAACCUUACCUGGUCUUGACAUCCACAGAAUCUUGCAGAGAUGUAAGAGUGCCUUCGGGAACUGUGAGACAGGUGCUGCAUGGCUGUCGUCAGCUCGUGUUGUGAAAUGUUGGGUUAAGUCCCGCAACGAGCGCAACCCUUAUCCUUUGUUGCCAUCGGUUCGGCCGGGAACUCAAAGGAGACUGCCGUUGAUAAAGCGGAGGAAGGUGGGGACGACGUCAAGUCAUCAUGGCCCUUACGACCAGGGCUACACACGUGCUACAAUGGCGUAUACAAAGGGAGGCGACCUCGCGAGAGCAAGCGGACCCCAUAAAGUACGUCUAAGUCCGGAUUGGAGUCUGCAACUCGACUCCAUGAAGUCGGAAUCGCUAGUAAUCGUGAAUCAGAAUGUCACGGUGAAUACGUUCCCGGGCCU
rnacentral:rRNA from 1 species